GGAAGAGGAGGGAGAGAGCGAGUGAAAGGGGGGAGGAAAAAAAAGACAGGGAAGGAGAGCGGGAGGGAGAGAGAUUGAGAGAGAGCGAGAGAGAGAGAGCGAGAGAGAGGCUGAGAGAGAGAGACUUGGCAAGGGAAAUCUUAUGGGUAUACUGAAACAGCAGAUCAGAAUUGUGAAACCAGAGCUAGGGCUGAAAUGUGAUGCUUUUGCUCUUUUGUGCUUGUUGUGGUUCUCAUCUUCCCAUUUAGAGGGCUGCAUACCAUUCAACAGCAUAUUUUGAUCUCAGAUUGAACAAUGCAGCAAUCAAGCCUGAUAAGCCACCUGGAAGUUUUGCUUGAGACGAUUUCUAGUGGGUUUACUGAUCCCUGUGAGCAUCAUGACUGCCUUUAGCAUUGUGGAGGAGGACUCGAGUUUCUUAUGAGGGCCCCACUUGGAAAAGCCGGCUGUGCAGAUUCAAGCCUCCGGUUCUGUUCAUGCUAUUCAAAAGCCUUUCCUCACCCUUGCUGAUUUAUUUUUAUGAUUUACAUACACUCCUGUGGAGAUUUACAGAAUGGAUUGUCUGUGCAUUGUCACGACCAAGCAGAGCCAUGGCAGAUGCCCAUCUCACAAAUGCUCAGUCGAAACACCUGCCUGGAUACCCAUUCAGCACUCUACCGAGCCAGAAGACCCCAACUUCCAUGAAAUUGAGAAGGCUGGGGAAUAACAAACAGCAACUUGUUCCCACCUCUAUUCCCUACCCAGGAUGAGCUCCUAUGAAACACUCUCACAAAUUGCC
rnacentral:lncRNA from 1 species